rnacentral:rRNA from 1 species
GUUUAUUUGCAUUGGUCUUCAGUGCACCUAUUCUUGUCCAAUCUUAGAAGUUAAGCAGUUGUGGGCCUGACUUGCAUUUUGAUGGGAGACGACCCAGUAAUCCCAGGUGUCAUAGGCA